UCCAGGUGAGGUGGCACAUGCCUGUAGUCCCAGCUACUCGGGCGGUUGAGGUGGGAGGACCACUUGAGCCCAGGAGUCUGGGCUAUAGUGCACUAUGCCAAUCAGGUGUUCGCAUUAAGUUUGGCAUCAGUAUGGUCACCUCCCGGGAGCGGGGGACCACCAGGUUGCCUAAGAAGGGGUGACCUGGCCCAGGUUGGAAAUGGAGCAGGUCAAAACUCCCUUGCUGAUCAGUAGUGGGAUCGCACCUGUGAAUAGCCACUGCACUCCAGCCUGGGCAAUGCAGUGAGACCCCGUCUCUA
rnacentral:SRP_RNA from 1 species